AAAGCGGAGGCGCUUCAUGAGGUCGGGCGCGUACUGCAUGCGGGUCUCACGGUCGUGCUCCAGCCACAGCACGGACAUCUGGAAAAGUGCCAGCUCCGACUCCACGGGGGGCGGCAGCGAGUCCAGCAGGGCACGCAUCUCCUCGAAGUUAAGCAACAGCACAUCCUCCACCAGCGACAGCGGUGACAGCAGCGGCGGCAAAAGUGGAGGCUGAGGCCGUGACACCUCGUGGGCUCGAGUCCAUGCCCGGCCGGAUGAACAGAAAGGCCGGGAGUGGGGAUUCAGGGGGUGCCCCAAGAGCUCAGAGGCGACCGACGGCGGCGGUUCCAGGGCGGAACAGGAAGGGACCCUCUUGCCCGCGUCCCGCCCGCGCGCCCGCCGGGACCACCGCCGCCGUCGCCCGGCUCCGAGGGACCCGCCGGACCUGCCCCUUCCGCUGCGGCUCACUCUGCCUUGCCCGGCGCCGCUUCUGGAUCGCCGGCUUCAUUCCUAUCAGACUGGGCUCCUCUCCACUCACUUUCCCAUCCUGUUCCAGGCUGGCGACUUCGCUGCUGAGCUGAAACUGCUAAUUUCUGUGACCAGCUUUUUUCUUAGCUGUGAUCUGGAUGAAUGAGUAGCUGUCUCACAGAGAUGACAAAAAUAAACUCUAAUCCCC
rnacentral:lncRNA from 1 species